AAUAAAUAUUAUAGUAAAAUGAUUGCAUAUCAUGUAGAAGAUUGUCCAUUAACAUGAUGACUAGAGGAUGAAUUUUGCUUUCCACUCCCUUGUGAAGAUUGUUGAUU